rnacentral:rRNA from 1 species
CCUACGGGGGGCAGCAGUGGGGGAUAUUGCACAAUGGGGGGAACCCUGAUGCAGCGACGCCGCGUGGGUGAAGGAGUGCUUCGGCAUGUAAAGCCCUAUCGGCAGGGAAGAAACAAGACGGUACCUGACUAAGAAGCCCCGGCUAACUACGUGCCAGCAGCCGCGGUAAUACGUAGGGGGCGGGCGUUAUCCGGAUUCACUGGGUGUUAUGGGAGCGUAGACGGCCAUGCAAGCCAGGGGUGAAAGCCCGGGGCCCCACCCCGGAGCUGCCCUUGGAACUGCAUGGCUGGGGUGCGG